rnacentral:rRNA from 1 species
UACGGAGGGGACUAGCGUUGUUCGGAAUUACUGGGCGUAAAGCGCACGUAGGCGGAUUUGUAAGUCAGGGGUGAAAUCCCGAGGCUCAACCUCGGAACUGCCUUUGAUACUGCAAAUCUCGAGUCCGGCAGAGGUGAGUGGAAUUCCUAGUGUAGAGGUGAAAUUCGUAGAUAUUAGGAAGAACACCAGUGGCGAAGGCGGCUCACUGGUCCGGUACUGACGCUGAGGUGCGAAAGCGUGGGGAGCAAACAGG